CCAUAGCACAAUGUUAGAGCAACUGCUUUGCAUGCAAAAGGUCCCUGGUUCAAUCUCCAGGUAGGACGA